GGAGGAGUGGCCGAGUGGCUUAAGGCGGCGGUCUUGAAAACCGUUGCAGGGUAACCUGCCGUGGGUUCGAAUCCUACCUCCUCCGCCA
rnacentral:tRNA from 1 species